rnacentral:rRNA from 1 species
GAUGAACGCUGGCGGCGUGCUUAAACACAUGCAAGUCGAACGGAACUUAUUGAAUGAAGUUUUCGGACAGAUUUUGAUAAGUUUAGUGGCGGACGGGUGAGUAACGCGUGGGUAACCUGCCUAUAAGACGUGAACAACAGUUAGAAAUGACUGCUAAUACACGAUAAGCACACCAGUAUCGCAUGAUACAGUGUGAAAAGAAUUUCGCUUAUAGAUGGACCCGCGUUUGAUUAGCCAGUUGGUGGGGUAACGGCCUACCAAAGCGACGAUCAAUAGCCGGCCUGAGAGGGCGACCGGCCACAUUGGGACUGAGACACGGCCCAAACUCC